UACGUAGGGGGCAAGCGUUGUCCGGAAUUAUUGGGCGUAAAGAGCGUGUAGGCGGUCCGGUAAGUCGGCUGUGAAAGUCCAGGGCUCAACCCUGGGAUGCCGGUCGAUACUGCCGGACUAGAGUUCGGAAGAGGCGAGUGGAAUUCCCGGUGUAGCGGUGAAAUGCGCAGAUAUCGGGAGGAACACCGGUGGCGAAGGCGCCUAUCUGGCCCGAUACUGACGCUGAGGCGCGAAAGCUAGGGGAGCAAACGGG
rnacentral:rRNA from 1 species